GGGUACUGAUAAUCCAUUAGCUUCUAAGUUCUUACGAAGACACAGAGACAUGGCUACUUCUUUUGCUAAAUUCCUUAUCAUUCUUGUUGCCAUUAGUUUCCACGUAAAAACUCUCUCAGCUGCUAGAGUUAUCAGUACCCCAAAAACCAACAUAGAAUUUAUAAGAACAUCCUGUAGUACAACUACUUAUCCAAAACUUUGCUAUAGUUCGCUCUCCGUUGAAGCAAGCAAAAUCCAAAACAGCCCCAAACUCCUAGCCAAUGCAGCCCUUAACGUGACACUAGCAUCUGCUAGAUCAACUUCCAUCAUGAUGCAAAAACUCUCUCAAAGCCAUGGCAUGAAGCCUAUGGAAGUAUCAGCCAUGCAAGACUGCGUGGAGGAGUUGAGUGACACGGUAGAUGAGCUGAGAAAAUCCAUUGAUGAAAUGGGUAAGACUAAAGGGUCCAAUACUCAGCUCAUGAUUAACGACAUACAAACAUGGGUUAGUGCUGCCUUGACGGAUGAGAGUACUUGCAGUGAAGGGUUCGCUGGGAAUUCCAUGAAUGGGAAUGUGAAGAGUGCAGUAAGGGGACUUAUUCUGAAUAUUGCACACUUGACCAGCAAUGCCUUGGCCUUGAUCAACAAUUAUGCCUCUGUUCAUGGUUAGAUCAUCUCUGGGAUGAUGAGGUUAAUUAAUUAUUUAUACAAUUACUUAAAGUGAUGAGGCUAAGAUAUGCCCAAAUUUGUAUGUAGCAUAUAUAUACUGUGAUACUCGUGCGUCGUGACAUGUAUGGUCAUAUGUCUCCAAAAGAAUGUUAUGGUAGAUUAAUUGUGUAUAAAUAUAAUUCAAGUCGUAUCAUAUAUAUUAGUGAAGAAAGGGUUUAGUAAUAAAACUUUAUAUGAAAAUUGGCCCUUUUCUAUUGUUCAACCCGUGAGUUUUAUUGUCAGACAAAAAAAAAACCGUGAAUUUUAU
rnacentral:misc_RNA from 1 species